CACGUAGGGCGCAAGCGUUGUCCGGAAUUAUUGGGCGUAAAGAGCUUGUAGGCGGUUUGUCGCGUCUGCCGUGAAAAUCCGAGGCUCAACCUCGGACUUGCGGUGGGUACGGGCAGACUAGAGUGUGGUAGGGGAGACUGGAAUUCCUGGUGUAGCGGUGAAAUGCGCAGAUAUCAGGAGGAACACCGAUGGCGAAGGCAGGUCUCUGGGCCACUACUGACGCUGAGAAGCGAAAGCAUGGGGAGCAAACAGG
rnacentral:rRNA from 1 species